CCCUCCCAUUUUCAUUUUCUUGGUCGAUUUUUAUUGAAAAUGUUGCAUGUUAACAGAUAGAAGCGACUGUCAUGCCCGAUGAGUACAGAUAUAAGAAGGUUUGGAUUCUGUGUAAUGAUUGCAAUGACACAACUGAGGUUUACUUCCAUGUAAUUGGUCAGAAAUGCUGCCAUUGUGAAUCGUACAAUACUCGGACAAUUGCACCUCCAGUUCCUCCUCAAUAAACAUCAUUUUUACUCGCUCAAAGCCUGAUUUGAAGCUGAAACAAGGGGGACCUUUUAUUUUUAUCAGUUUCCUUAAUUUCCGACUUAAAAGACUGAUGUCGACAGAAACUGUUACUUCUUUAUUGUUUUGCUCUCAUUUUGUGUGAGUGGCACCCAUCGAACUACAGUUUAUAAUGAAUUUGUGGCUUUUCUGAA